CGCAGGUCAGGAGGCGCGAGCGAGCCGGAAGCGCAGCCGCUGACUGGCCACCGGAAGCACAGCCGCCUGUGGCCUCCCAGGAGCUGUGCAGUUAGAAAGGAUUGUUAGCAAUUUGAAAGGAUUGUUAGCAAAGGGGGAAAGGAGGUUUGGAAGACCGAGGACCUGGCGCGGUGGAAAGGCUUUGACAGCGAGGACGACACGUGGAAGCGGAGCAGCACUUGGUGAACGGCGAGGUCAUCCAUGACUUCAGGUGCCACAGAGAAGCAGAAAGAGAGCGCGCUGACCUGAACCAGUGGGAGCUCACCCGACAAUGUCAGUAAGUGGAUUUCCAGGUCUGUCAACAACCGCUUCUCCAAGACUCCCCUGAGGCACUAGUGAUCAGCAGGGACCACGAGCCCCAAAAGAGAGUGUGCUGGCGACCAGCCAGGAGUUCAGGAGAAACACAGACCCUUUCCGUCCAGCAGAAAGAACAUGGACCUUGCAGAGUCAAGUACCUAGAUCCUUGGGCCUAAGAGCCCCAUUAAGAGCAGGACGGCUUUCCCAGUGAGAGACCUGAGGAACGACCCCCUGGAGCAGGGUCCAGAGGACAAGGUGGCGUCAGAAGUGGCAGCAGCGAAACCGAUGGGAGCUUUAUUGGGCUCUGGUGCCUGCUGAGCGAGCCAGGAUGAGGAACAGGCCCUGAAUAUACCCACUAGCUUCUCAGGUGCCAGACUGUGGCCACCGGUACAUCCCUGUUCAUAGUUGUCCAUAGCCAAUGGACAUAAACGUCUAUUACAGGAGUGACAGCCAGGGAAAGGAAAUUUAUUAAGGACAGAAGAGACCAGCCUUUUGACAAGUGGUUGCGUUUCAGUGUGAGGCAAACACAGAGUGCCUACAUGUACAGAACUAUUGCUCUGCAGCAAGAUGGCUUCACCCAUGUCUUGUUAUCCACAAAAUCAUCAGAGAAUAACUCACUGAAUCCAGAGGUAAUAGAAGAGGUCCAAGCGCUCUGAACAUGGCUGCUGCCGGCGACGACAAGCUGGUGCUGCUCAGCUAAGUUGGCAGUGUCUUAUGCUGUGGUCUCUUUAUUUCGUAUGGUGAAUCACAGAUGACAGGAAAAGAGGAAGCAAUAAAAUGGUGUUGGGCAUUUUGUCUCAACAACGAGAAAGUAACUAAGGAAGUCAUGGUUCAGUCAGUUAUGCUGGAGGAGUCCAAGGCCCUGGGAUGCUGUAACAUGAAGCUGGAUCUGGAGCAGGCCAGAGGGAGUGCGAGGUGCUGAAGAAGAUCUGGGGCUUGGGCCAGGGCAUGGACUCCACGUUAAAGUACUUGCAGAGGAAAAUUGAUGAAGUUUGCUUUGCAGCCACAUGUGGAUGACACUAGAACUUGUUUGAGUAGGACCUUGGUGGCUCCCAGUUGGCAUAAUCCAUCCCCUAGUCUGAAACACAUUCACCUGUCGUUCAUCCUUGGAAGCAGGACUGGAAACAUCCAAGCUACUCAUUUCUGAGUUUUAAGUCCUAUAUCUUUAAAAUAAAUAACUACAAAGCUCCUUUUUACAAAUAUCAUUAUUUUACACUUACAUGCAUACAACUAUAAAAGCAUAAUGGUAAGCAAUAGACGGCUUGUGGAAGCUCCGAUUUUCUGUCCUUUGGCUAGUACUGUAUUAAAAAAAAACAAUUGUGUUUUACUCAUCUGGGUGAAAGAAAAGUCAGGAAUAAUAUCUCUUUUCCUCAGUUUUUCCUAAUAAAGGGGACUAGCCAGCUUCACCUUCCCUACCCUAAAUAGAGAUACAAAGAUAUCUGGGAUAUUUCCUUAGUCUCCAAGGAAGGAGGUACAGGUACUUUAGAGAUGGACAAUUCUAAAUCAAAAUUAAAACUUACCUUUUAGGAAAGAUCUUUCUGAUAAACAGUCUCAGCAAGCACUUAAGAUUCAUGCUGAGAUAGCAAUGGGUUUUCCCUUUUUUCCUAAUAUAUCCGGUUCUGACGCAGUGAACUUGCAGAAACUACUGUCUCUCUAGAAGAAAGCACAUUUUGUUUGCAG
ensembl:lncRNA